GACAGAGGGUGCAAACGUUGUUCGGAAUUACUGGGCGUAAAGCGCGUGUAGGCGGCUCGGCAAGUCGGGUGUGAAAGCCCUGGGCUUAACCUAGGAAGUGCACUCGAAACUGCCAAGCUUGAGUUCUGGAGAGGAAGGCGGAAUUCUCGGUGUAGAGGUGAAAUUCGUAGAUAUCGGAAGGAACACCAGUGGCGAAAGCGGCUUCCUGGUCCAGCAUCGACGUUCAGGCACGAAAGCGUGGGGAGCAAACAGG
rnacentral:rRNA from 1 species